rnacentral:rRNA from 1 species
UACCUACGGGAGGCAGCAGUAGGGAAUCUUCCACAAUGGACGAAAGUCUGAUGGAGCAACGCCGCGUGAGUGAAGAAGGGUUUCGGCUCGUAAAGCUCUGUUGGUAGUGAAGAAAGAUAGAGGUAGUAACUGGCCUUUAUUUGACGGUAAUUACUUAGAAAGUCACGGCUAACUACGUGCCAGCAGCCGCGGUAAUACGUAGGUGGCAAGCGUUGUCCGGAUUUAUUGGGCGUAAAGCGAGUGCAGGCGGCUCAAUAAGUCUUAUGUGAAAGCCUUUGGCUCAACCGGAGAAUU